UAAUACGUAUGUCGCAAGCGUUAUCCGGAUUUAUUGGGCGUAAAGCGCGUCUAGGUGGUUUGAUAAGUCUGAUGUGAAAAUGCGGGGCUCAACUCCGUAUUGCGUUGGAAACUGUCAAACUAGAGUAUCGGAGAGGUGGGCGGAACUACAAGUGUAGAGGUGAAAUUCGUAGAUAUUUGUAGGAAUGCCGAUAGAGAAGUCAGCUCACUGGACGAAUACUGACACUGAAGCGCGAAAGCAUGGGGAGCAAACAGGAUUAGAUACCCUG
rnacentral:rRNA from 1 species